UGCCAGCAAAAUUCUCCCUCACACAUCUCUCACUAACAACGAUUCCCUCUCCCUCACCGAGACGGUUCUCCCAACAAUUUAAAUCUCUCUCUCUCACAAUAUCUCUAAAGCAACGACAAUUUAUCAAAAAUCAAUAUAAUUUCUCGAACUGCUUUCCAUCCAUUUAGGGAGAAUGGGUCGAACGCAUUGCUGCGGCGGUUGCCGAAGAAGCUCGGAAAUCAGAGACAUAUUUUUAGCUUUUCUAAUCGAGAGAAUUAAAGCGUGCGAUUGCUGAGAACUUGUGAUGUAUCACUGGAAUUGUUUGAUGGGGAAUUUGGUGAAGAAGGAGGUUCAUUUAUGGUGCGAGGGGAAAAUUCCGAUGGUGUCGCGCGACUUCGAGAAAUCAUGAAGUCUAGAACUUGCCGGUGCUUUCUAGAGGCCUCUCUAUAAUUUGACAUUUAUUGAACAAUAAAUAUAUGAAUGUGGGAUAUUUGGGAACAUUAUCUUUUAAUGUCAUUUCAAGGAUACCAUUUUUUUGGGGGGAGGGGGGUAGAGGCUCAUGCAGAUGGGCAUAAGUAUCAGUUGCCCACCAUCUUCCCUCUUCGCUCGCCAUUGUUACAUGUCGUCUGCAGCAGGAAUGUUACCGCCGUUAACAUCAUUUUUCCAUCUAAUUUCAUCAACGAUAUUGUCGAGUCUUGACCUCACCGGUGCCUAUCAUAGCAGUCCAGCGAUGUUUGAUCGCCACCGUCCGAAAGAACAACAACCAAUGUCCCCCUUUAUCAGCGAAUUGAUACAGAAGUUACCAUCACCAUCUCCUAUUUCUUUUAUUUUCUAUUUGAGUUCUUUAAAUUCUUAAUUAAUUUCUUAAUUUUGCUAAAUACAGAGUUUUCAUGUGUGUUUAUAGGUGAAGUUUGAAGUAGAUAGGGAAGCUUAUGAAUUUCGGUGGAUUUUUAAGCAAUCAAUCCCCCUACAAUUUUGCCGAUAUGUUCUCGGGCAGAUCUUGCGUGUGGUCGCCGUGUGGGAAAUGUUAGAUGUAACUCUGCAGGUGAGAAAGUAUGAUCCGUUUAUAGUUGUUGAAACAAGUGGUGACAAGUUGUCAGGUUCAACUGGCUAUAAUUCUGUCGUAGCUAGGGUAUAUAUUUGGGAAGAAUUCUACAACAGAGAAGAUACCGAUGACAACACCUAUAUUUACUCAAGCACUCAAACCGGAAUUCUCCAAAGUAUCCAUUCAAAUAGUUCUUCCUUCCGAGAAUAAUAUGAACAGUUUGCCAGCUCCAAAUGAAGUAGAAAUCAGUUUGAGGAAGGUGGAAGAAGGUGUAGCAGCAGUGUCGAAAUUCAGUGGAAAGCCAGAUGAGGAUAUUGUUCAACCUCUGUUUCCUUUGGCAGGUUUUGGACAGUCGAGGUCAUCUCCUUAUGUACGUAUAUGAUACAUAAUUGUUACUCAUUAUCACUUAUACUUGCUUUAUUUUUUAAAAUAAUUUUUAUCUUUAUACUUAUUAUCACUUAAAAACAAUUAAUAGUAUUUCAACUAUUUAAAAAUAAUAAUUUAUAUAAUAUAUUGAUUACGGUUUACAUUUAUAUUUAUUUAUUUAAAAUAUAGUUUAAUGUUGAU